GAUGAACGCUGGCGGCGUGCCUAAUACAUGCAAGUCGAGCGAACAGAUGAGGAGCUUGCUCCUCUGACGUUAGCGGCGGACGGGUGAGUAACACGUGGAUAACCUACCUAUAAGACUGGGAUAACUUCGGGAAACCGGAGCUAAUACCGGAUAAUAUAUUGAACCGCAUGGUUCAAUAGUGAAAGACGGUUUUGCUGUCACCUAUAGAUGGAUCCGCGCCGCAUUAGCUAGUUGGUAAGGCAACGGCUUACCAAGGCAACGAUGCGUAGCCGACCUGAGAGGGUGAUCGGCCACACUGGAACUGAGACACGGUCCAGACUCCUACGGGAGGCAGCAGUAGGGAAUCUUCCGCAAUGGGCGAAAGCCUGACGGAGCAACGCCGCGUGAGUGAUGAAGGUCUUCGGAUCGUAAAACUCUGUUAUUAGGGAAGAACAAAUGUGUAAGUAACUAUGCACGUCUUGACGGUACCUAAUCAGAAAGCCACGGCUAACUACGUG
rnacentral:rRNA from 1 species